GACGUAGGGCGCGAGCGUUGUCCGGAUUUAUUGGGCGUAAAGAGCUCGUAGGCGGCUUGUCGCGUCGUCCGUGAAAACUUGGGGCUCAACCCCAAGCUUGCGGUCGAUACGGGCAGGCUAGAGUUCGGUAGGGGAGACUGGAAUUCCUGGUGUAGCGGUGAAAUGCGCAGAUAUCGGGAAGAACACCCGUGGCGAAGGCGGCUCUCUGGGACGGUACUGACGCUGAGACGCGAAAGCGUGGGGAGCGAACAGG
rnacentral:rRNA from 1 species